GACGAACGCUGGCGGCGUGCUUAACACAUGCCAGUCGAACGGGUCUGCCCUGUUUUUUGCGGGGUGGGUCAGUGGCGAACGGGUGAGUAACACGUGAGUAACCUGCCCCUCACUUCUGGAUAACCGCUUGAAAGGGUGGCUAAUACGGGGUGUUCUGGCUGUGCCGCAUGGUGUGGCUGGGAAAGAUUCACUUUUGUGGUGUUUUGGUGGGGGAUGGGCUCGCGGCCUAUCAGCUUGUUGGUGGGGUGAUGGCCUGCCAAGGCUUUGACGGGUAGCCGGCCUGGGAGGGUGGGCGGUCACACUGGGACUGAGAUACGGCCCAGACUCCUGCGGGAGGCAGCAGUGGGGGGUAUUGCACAAUGGGCGGAAGCCUGAUGCAGCGACGUCGCGUGAGGGAUGGAGGCCUUCGGGUUGUGAACCUCUUUCGCCGGUGAAGAAGGUCCUGCUCUUUGUGGUGGGGUUGACGGUAGCCGGGUUAUGAAGCGCCGGCUAACUACGUG
rnacentral:rRNA from 1 species